UACGUAGGGUGCAAGCGUUAAUCGGAAUUACUGGGCGUAAAGCGUGCGCAGGCGGUUCGCUAAGACAGAUGUGAAAUCCCCGGGCUUAACCUGGGAACUGCAUUUGUGACUGGCGGGCUAGAGUAUGGCAGAGGGGGGUGGAAUUCCGCGUGUAGCAGUGAAAUGCGUAGAGAUGCGGAGGAACACCGAUGGCGAAGGCAGCCCCCUGGGCUAAGACUGACGCUGAGGCACGAAAGCGUGGGGAGCAAACAGG
rnacentral:rRNA from 1 species